rfam:Asian citrus Psyllid, Diaphorina citri - Florida Strain, whole genome shotgun sequence.
CACAGUGGCAAUAGCACAUUGAAUACAUCAGUUUCCAAUGGAUCACUCAAGUUAACCAACGUUGCGAGUGGUUGGUAUCCGGAAUGCUGACCAUCUGGGCAAUCCCUGCUCCUAGCU